rnacentral:tRNA from 1 species
CAAGGAAGUUUUCUGAUACGUUGGAAAACUUUUUGAAUAAAAAGACCUAUGCUUCGAGCGUAGGCAUUAAGACGAAAGCGCCGUCAGCAUAUCCCUUCCUUUACUUUUCCUGGGCUAGUAGCUCAGUUGGUUAGAGCACACGCUUGAUAAGCGUGGGGUCGGAGGUUCAAGUCCUCCCUGGCCCACCACCAGGAUGAUGGGGGCAUAGCUCAGCUGGGAGAGCACCUGCUUUGCAAGCAGGGGGUCGUCGGUUCGAACCCGUCUGCCUCCACCAGAACUUCUGGUGGCGACUAGGAAAAGAGAUUAAAGGUAAGUGGAAAGAGUUCUUCUUUCGGAUAAUUUAUUGUCUGAUUGAAGUAUCCGGUCUUUGAGGAGUGAAUCGGUUGGUGCGCUGUCUGCGUACGCUGCAAUGGGUUGUCUGACCUUUUGGUGGGGGAUGUUUCCUUGUUUCCCACGGAACGUUGCAGAAAGUAUUCAGACGGUGAGAAUGAAGUGACUGACAUUAUAUGUUCAGUUCCAUCAUUCAGCACCUGAAUGUGAGCAAUCACAUUUGGGUAUUG